rnacentral:rRNA from 1 species
GGAAGGGUUGUAUUUAUUAGAUAAAGAACACCCUCCAAUCUCUAGUUGGCAUAAUAAACUUUAUGGAUCACAUUAUGUGACAUAUCAUUCAAGUUUCUGACCUAUCAGCUUUAGACGGUAGGGUAUUGGCCUACCGUGGCUAUGACGGGUAACGGGGAAUUAGGGUUCGAUUCCGGAGAGGGAGCCUGAGAAACGGCUACCACAUCUAAGGAAGGCAGCAGGCGCGCAUUCCCAAUCCUAACAAGGAGGUAGUGACAAGAAAUAAAAAUACAGAACCUUACGGUUUUUUAAUUGGAAUGAGUUAAGUAUGGACCCCUUCACCGAUCACCAUUUACAGGAAUGUUUAUCUCUAUGGAGUCGCGUCGCUCGGCCGUCCCUUAUAAGCUUACACUUGCUGCACAUUAAAAAGGGUAGUUAAUCUUCUGUUAAUUUUUAUAUAAUAUCACGAUAUUUAUAUAAUAUUAACAUAAUUCAUAUUACUUUUUAGUAUAUGAAACUUUACUUUGAGAAAAUUAGAGUGCUUAAAGCAUUGCCUUGAAUACUCCAGCAUGGAAUAAUAUUAAGGAUUUUUAUUCUUCUUAUUGGUUCUAGAAUAAAAAUGAUGAUUAAUAGGGACAGUUGGGGGCAUUUGUAUUUAACAGUCAGAGGUGAAAUUCUUAGAUUUGUUAAAGACAAACUACUGCGAAAGCAUUUGCCAAGGAUGUUUUCAUUAAUCAAGAACGAAAGUUAGGGGAUCGAAGACGAUCAGAUACCGUCGUAGUCUUAACCAUAAACUAUGCCAACUAGAGAUUGGAGGUUGUUCCUUACUCCUUACUCCUUCAGCACCUUAUGAG